UACGUAGGGGGCAAGCGUUGUCCGGAUUUAUUGGGCGUAAAGAGCUCGUAGGUGGUUCGGUAAGUCGGGUGUUAAACCCCCAGGCUCAACCUGGGGACGCCACUCGAUACUGCUGUGACUAGAGUCCGGAAGGGGCGAGUGGAAUUCCUGGUGUAGCGGUGAAAUGCGCAGAUAUCGGGAAGAACACCCGUGGCGAAGGCGGCAUCCUGGACCAAUAUUGACGCUGAGGAGCGAAAGCCAGGGGAGCAAACGGGG
rnacentral:rRNA from 1 species